UACGGAAGGGGCAAGCGUUGUUCGGAAUCAUUGGGCGUAAAGGGCGCGCAGGUGGUUCUGUAUGUCUGCCGUGAAAGCAUACAGCUCAACUGUAUUGUGUCGGUAGAAACUGCAGGACUUGAGGCUGGGAGGGGCUGGUGGAAUUCCCUGUGUAGCGGUGAAAUGCGUAGAGAUGGGGGAGAACACUCGUGGCGAAGGCGGCCAGCUAGACCAGUUCUGACACUGAGGCGCGGCAGCGUGGGGAGCAAACAGG
rnacentral:rRNA from 1 species